UACGAAGGGUGCAAACGUUGCUCGGAAUUAUUGGGCGUAAAGCGCGUGUAGGCGGCUCUGCAAGUCGGAUGUGAAAUCCCACGGCUCAACCAUGGAAGUGCAUUCGAAACUGCAGGGCUAGAGUCCUGGAGAGGAAGGUGGAAUGCUUGGUGUAGAGGUGAAAUUCGUAGAUAUCAAGCGGAACACCGGUGGCGAAGGCGGCCUUCUGGACAGUGACUGACGCUGAGACGCGAAAGCGUGGGGAGCAAACAGG
rnacentral:rRNA from 1 species